UUGCGUAGGUCAAAAAAUAAUAAACAAAGAUGAUAUUGAUUGUGAUGACCAAGAGAUUUAUUUUAAGACACAUCAAUCUUCAUCAUCUUUAAAUAAAACGGAUAAACAUUAUGGAUUUCCAUUAUCUCAAGCAAUUUGUGCAUCGACUUCUCACGAAUAAUACACAGAGUCGAUUGUCGAUGCAAUAAUUGGUGAUUCGUGAAAGCGGGCAACUUUUGCUUGUCUUAAAGUGCCUUGAAUCCAACAGAUAUCAUCGUUAUAAUAUUACUUUGUUUGUAAAUUGUUUUAAAAAAUAAAUUUAAAAAUAACUUUUAAAUAAA